GCCUUCACGUCCAAACCCCACAACCUCUGUGUUUUCUCAUAUACGCUGGAUCCUCCUGCCGCCGCCGUCGCCGCCACCAUGAACCGCCACUGCAUCGAUUUCUCUUUGCCUCUCCAUCGUCGUUCAAUCCAGCCCAUCAUAUUCUAUAUCGGCAAAUUAUUUUGAGAAACCAGUAGGCUGUAAUAGUUCUUCAUCGCAUGAGAGGAGAAUAGAGGCAACCCCAUUACCCUCAAAGUGUUCGGCAAAGUGCUAAGGAUUUCAUUAGUGGAAAUUCAAUUUCAUUCCAGCCAAUCUCAAUAGGGUUGUAAUGUUAACUAAUUAUGCAAGAAUGAUGAAAAGAACUGAGAAGGAAAAAGGACUUUGUUUAGGAGACUUGAAAUAGGAAAGAAGCCUAAAGGUUGCUUCUAAUGUUGCUGCACUUGGAUGAUUCAAAAAUUAUGUAGACAUGUGCUUAUGCAUUAUAUGUGAUGUUUUGUUUUGUUUUGAAAAAUUUAUA